rnacentral:rRNA from 1 species
UGGGGAAUUUUGGACAAUGGGCGCAAGCCUGAUCCAGCAAUGCCGCGUGCAGGAUGAAGGCCUUCGGGUUGUAAACUGCUUUUGUACGGAGCGAAAAGGUCUGCCCUAAUACGGUGGGCUCAUGACGGUACCGUAAGAAUAAGCACCGGCUAACUACGUGCCAGCAGCCGCGGUAAUACGUAGGGUGCGAGCGUUAAUCGGAAUUACUGGGCGUAAAGCGUGCGCAGGCGGUUAUAUAAGACAGGUGUGAAAUCCCCGGGCUCAACCUGGGACCUGCAUUUGUGACUGUAUAGCUAGAGUACGGUAGAGGUGGAUGGAAUUCCGCGUGUAGCAGUGAAAUGCGUAGAUAUGCGGAGGAACACCGAUGGCGAAGGCAAUCCCCUGGACCUGUACUGACGCUCAUGCACGAAAGCGUGGGGAGCAAACA